rnacentral:lncRNA from 1 species
GUUUCCUAGCCACAAUGGUUCUAGUUCUGCAUUGCUUGCUGUUUUGGGGGUUUUAGGCUGGGUUUCUGUAUAAGCACUUUGUGACUUCUGCUGAUGUAAAAAGGGCUUUAUAAAUACAUUGAUUUUGAUUGAGAAAUACAUUUUUAAAAUCCACUGACAGCACAGCCUACAAGUGGCAGUAAAUUAUUUCAUCGAUUGCUUUCGGAUUCCAAUCUUUAAAACAAAUCCUGUCCGCAGCUCUCACUGGCUAUGCGUCACCUUGGAACAUCUGUCAGCCUGGGAUAUAUCUUAUACUGGAAAUAAUAACUGAGUCAGUAUGGGAUGUCUAAAACCAGCCCUUCUCUAUGCGCACAAAUCUCAUUAUCUCGCAUUACAUUGCCCGGAUUAAAAUAAAAAACAUUUAGAUAUUAGGCUACGACCGAAUUCCCUCUAUACGUGUCUGCCUAGACAUUGUUCAUGACGCUCUCUCGUCACUGCAUCCGAUAGAACAGACCACGAACUAUUCAUGACUGUUAAUGCAAUAUCAGUCUACAGGCGGGAAAGCAUCUAUAGGCAGUGUGUCAUCGAAUUAAUGGAAUAACUUGCAAUAAUAACAAAACAAAGUCCGGUUUUGUUAUGAUGAUGGCAACAGCGGGGAAAACAUCAAUGAACCUAUAGGAGGGAAGGAGCGUCGAGCUAGCCUGAUGAUGUCAUGUGUUUUGUAUCCUGCGUCGGGUUUUAGUAAUGCUCUGUGCUACAUCUCAUGUCAUUAGCCCACUGCAAGUUAGGACGGAGGCGGAGGUAAUAAUUACUCCGCUGAGGCUGGAUGUCACAUUCACAACACAGAUCUUGGUCUGUGCCCGGGCUGCCACGGCCCCAAGACGGAGACGUCACCUCACUGUGUUUCACUCAUGUUUCCAUUCGGCCCAGCGGUGCAGGUAACUAACUCAAUACCCGUCUGUGCAGGUAACUCAAUAAUAAAGGAGAUACUGUUGGCCUAGUCUGAUCUGGCUAAAAGACUACGGCUGAACAGCAGCAUGCGGGUCCGGGUUCCACACAAACAAACUCCGUCCUAUCUGUACAUCCUUUUAGGCUUCAACACGGUCGGCUCGGGUCUUUCUCCAGUCUGAGCAAAUCAUUGCAGAUUCCGACUGAGCCUCAAGUGAUUCAAUCCAUGGACAAAUAACACAGCGGACUGGGGCAGUUAAAGGAGAGAUGAAGAGUAGCCUUGUCUAGCCUGGUUCCUGCUAUCCAGUAGAUUGCCUACACUGUCGGAACAACACGUUUAAAGUCCCAAAUGAAAAACUGUGCAGCUUAAUUAGCGGGCUUGGUUUUGUGGAUGAUGUUAAUUGCCAUGUAGCUAGGUCACCGCCGGCGUCAGCUGGGCAGGAGGCUAUCCCGUCCCUACUGCAGCUUGUCCAAUAUAUGGAAUGGAAUUCAAAUCCGUGUCGUGUUGUUUUGUUCUCGGCGAGGUUUAGCACUAGAGAUGAAAUAAUGACUCCACGCACGAUUCUUCAGUAUAAUCUAGGAUCAAUUCUUGCAAUUGGAUGAGUUGUGUUUUUUGUGUGAUGAUAGUUGUUUUCCCAAAUGAAUCAUUACAUUCGAAUUUGUUACAAAGAGUCUGAAUAAAAUCAUAUUGCCCUC